rnacentral:rRNA from 1 species
UGGUCGAGUCGGCCUGCGCGGAAGAUGUAACGGGGCUAAACCAUGCACCGAAGCUGCGGCAGCGAACGUAUCACCCAAGACAACUUUGCGGAGUUGACGAUUGACGGAGCGAAGCGACGUCAAAGCGUUCAUUAAAGUCGAGUUGGCUUAGGGAUACGUUCGUUGGGUAGGGGAGCGUUCUGUAAGCCAGUGAAGGUGUGUCGUGAGGCAUGCUGGAGGUAUCAGAAGUGCGAAUGCUGACAUAAGUAACGAUAAAGCGGGUGAAAAGCCCGCUCGCCGGAAGACCAAGGGUUCCUGUCCAACGUUAAUCGGGGCAGGGUGAGUCGACCCCUAAGGCGAGGCCGAAAGGCGUAGUCGAUGGGAAACGGGUUAAUAUUCCCGUACUUGGUGUUACUGCGAAGGGGGGACGGAGAAGGCUAUGUUGGCCGGGCGACGGUUGUCCCGGUUUAAGCGUGUAGGUGUGUGUUCCAGGUAAAUCCGGUUCACUUUAACACUGAGGCGUGAUGA